CUGAGUUGGCACUUUUAGGGGGACGGGCCCGGGCUGGCCGCGGCUGGGGCCGAGCUAGCGCCAGGAGCUCCCGAGCGUGUCAGGCCUGGCAGGACUCUCGCGCCUGCCCGCUGGCCGCCGCGCGGGGGUUGGCAGCUCGCGCUCUUGCAGGGAGCGCCCUGGGGGCCGCCCGAGGCCAUUCUUUGCGCGCGGCGUCUCCCGGCCCAGGAGAGCGGCCGCACCGCCCACCCUGCCUCGUCCGCCGCAGCACGGCCGGGGCCUGACCGCGCAGGCCGCCGAGGCUCGAGGGCACAGCCGGAGGGGCGCGGCUGCCACUGCCGCCCGGCCAGUUCCCGUUCCGGCCGCCGGCGAGCGCCCGCUCCCGCCCUGUCCCUGGCGCAGCAGCGGGGCGCCGCGCUCCCGGGCGCGCCUGGCUCGGGCUCUCGCUCCCAGCCGCUGCGAGGUCUGCAAACCUGGCGGCCAGAUGGGACGACUGAGGCUCACUGAGAUUAAAUAACUAGCCUGACGUCAAUACAUAGUUGCACCUCUUGUGGAGCUCUGGCAAUCCUCCAGGAGGCCUGGGCCAGUGGACCCCGGGCCCCGAAAAGCACACUCUCCGUUGAGCUUUGUGGCAAUAUCCACAAGUUGACAGCUUCCUACUAAAUUGAAG
rnacentral:lncRNA from 1 species